UUGACUUGUAGUAAGAAUGAAGUUGAAGUGUGUAAGCGGAGUUUGGUUUGGCUCUCUCCAGGUUAAGAGCUGGUAUGAUCUAGUGCUGCGCGAGAGCCUCCUGCAGGAGCUGCUGUGGAGUGGACACUGUGAGCUCAGCCGAGCCCCAGACCUGUCCAGCUGCAGGAGAGGAGUCCAGACCUUCCUCAGGAGAAACCCCUGCCCGGAGGUGCUGGAGCUGGUGAAGCUGGCGCAUCUCGCUGAUGCUAUAACUGACCUGCACCUUCAGCACACUGGCUCGCAGCUGUCUCACAGAUGCAUGACUCUGAGGAGACUCUUGACCUCCGUUGGGGCCAUUCCCCUUCACGACCUUCAGCUUGCCCUCCAGUGGCAGUAUGAGUUCCUCAAGGGUCACCACAGGACCUCUGACAUCACUUCCCCCGAGGACGAGCAUGUUUCCUGCCGUCUGCCUCCAGACUCGUCCGCUCGUGCAGUUUCUCCGUGUGAGAGCUUGUGUGAUUUAGCUAAGUGGCCUUCUGUUGGUGACUGCCAUCACCAGAUUUCUGCAGGCAAACCUCCUUCUCUCAGCUCCUUUGACUCUGGUUUCGAUGGAGCGGCUAGCAGUCACCUGGACAGCAGGAGUAGAAGAGAGCCGCUGCCUAGGAUUCUGGGAAAUGGAGACUCUUCUGCUUUCAAGUCGAGACCUCUGCAUGGACAGAUUGACGAGGAGAACAUUGUGAGCGUGUCUGAUUCUGAAGACCAGCGUGAAGAGCUAGGGUUUAGUUUAAAGCAGGACUCCACUCGUGCCAGCAUUCAGAUCGUUCCCAGAAUUACCUCCGACUCUCUGAACCUUGAGAUCAAGGUGAAGCGCUCUGCUACGCUGCCCAAGAACCCCUGGCUGAGCCUCCCGAUAGAUGAUCUUGAGAGCUCUUAUACAGUCACCAUUACACCCAGCUCUUCCAGAGAUCGGCCCGCUCCGACAGAGGAGCUGGGAUCCGCUCCGCUCCAGAGUCAGGAGAGCUUUGAGGAGUCGGAGCUGGAUCCUGUGGGAAACGUUCUGUCCAGCACCUUAACAGAUAAUGAAGACAAGCCCAGCAUCACACUGGACGAUCCUUCUCUUCUCUGGGACACGUUUGAUCUGCACAAUCUCAGACAGGACUCUUACGAACGGUUAGAAUCUCUUCAAGUGUUUAAAACAUUAGUUCACCCAGAAAUUAAAACCUGCUAGUAAUUUAUUCAAACUCUUCUACAUCUUGGAUGCCUGAGGGUGUUUCUUCAUGGGAUCAG
rnacentral:lncRNA from 1 species